rnacentral:rRNA from 2 species
GUCUACAGCCAUACCACCCUGAACACGCCCGAUCUUGUCUGAUCUCGUGAAGCUAAGCAGGGUCGGGACUGGUUAGUAUUUGGAUAGGAGACCUCCUAGGAAUACGGGGUGCUGUAGGCU